rnacentral:rRNA from 1 species
AACGAACGCUGGCGGCAGGCCUAACACAUGCAAGUCGAGCGAGGACUUCGGGUCUAGCGGCGGACGGGGGAGUAACGCGUGGGAAUGUGCCCUUCUCUACGGAAUAGCCCUGGGAAACUGGGAGUAAUACCGUAUACGCCCUAUUGGGGGAAGAUUUAUCGGAGAAGGAUGAGCCCGCGUUGGAUUAGGUAGUUGGUGGGGUAAUGGCCUACCAAGCCGACGAUCCAUAGCUGGUUUGAGAGGAUGAUCAGCCACACUGGGACUGAGAAACGGCCCAGACUCCUACGGGAGGCAGCAGUGGGGAAUCUUAGACAAUGGGGGCAACCAUGAUCUAGCCAUGCCGCGUGAGUGAUGAAGGCCUUAGGGUUGUAAAGCUCUUUCAGCUGGGAAGAUAAUGACGGUACCAGCAGAAGAAGCCACGGCUAACUCCGUG